rnacentral:tRNA from 1 species
UCCGUCGAUAGCUCAGUUGGCAGAGCGGUGGACUGUAGAUCCAUAGGUCGGUUCAACUCCGGCUCGAGAAA